rnacentral:piRNA from 1 species
UUCACUAUUUCUGGUUCUGUU